ACCCAAUUUGCUUGGCUGCUGGGAAGAAGCAUGAGACUCUUAAUCUCAGGGUUGUGGGUUCAAGCCCCACACUGGGCA